UCUAACGUUAAUAUAAUGUUAGUUUUCUAACGUUAAUGUAAUGUUAGUUUUAUGUCAUAAUUUUAACCGUUAAUUUAACGUUAGUUUUCUAACGUAAAUCUAAUGUUAAUUUUAUAACAUAAAUCUAACUUUAGUUUUCUAACAUAAAUCUAACGUUAGUUUUCUAACAUAUACCUGAUAUUAGUUGUAAAACGUAAAACAAAUGUCAGUUUAAUGUCAUGAUACUAACAAUUAAGGGCCUGACAAGACAGCUGUCUAGUCAUUAAAAUGGGUAAGACCCUGGCUCGCUAGCCUGGAGGUCGGGUGUUCGAUCCCUGCAUUGGCCGAGAAAGUUCAUCCAGAUUUCCGGCGUGGUUUCCCCUUGUCAGUGAUGCAGGACGGAGAGCCUGACAAGGACAGCUGUCUAGUUGUUCAGAUGGGAUAAAAAAAAAACGAGGUCCUGUGUACACAUUGGCAUGCAUGUAAAAGGUCCCUUGACAGUUGGAAUUCGAUAUAAGAGUAGGCCGUAGUGCCACUGUCGGGGCAAAAUUUCCCUCAUAACACACUGUAUGGUGUAUAUGGCCAUCUUCAUUAGCCCAGUUCGGAGCAGAACAGUUGGACGUUAAACCCCAUUUCAUUUCAUUACAUUUUGUAUCCAUUUCUAAGUGCCCAAGAAUAGAGAUCUAGCUCCUUUAAUAGUUGCGGUCUCUAGGUGACACACAAAGAGAAAACGAAUGAAUGAAUGAUCUACUCUCAUUUCAAAUUCCAAAUGUCAAGGGUUCUUUUACGUGCACACCCACGUGAUGGACUAGACACUGUUUUUUUGAGGUCCUCUGUCCUACACCACUACUAACAAAGGGAACUUUCUCGACCAACAUGGGGAUCACGUUGGCUAAGUGGGUAAGACGCUGACUCGCUAGCCUGGAGGUCGGGUGUUCGAUCCCUGCAUUGGCUGAGAAAGUUCAUCCAGAUUUUUCUGCGUGUUUUCCCCUUGUCAGUGAUACAGGACGGAGGGCCUGACAAGAACAGCUGUCUAGUCAGGGAUGAAAAACUGAGGUCACGUGUACACACAGGAGUGCACAUGAAAGAUCCCUUGGUAGUUGGAACUUGAUAUAAGAGUAGGCCAUAGCGCCGCUGCCUGGGCAAAAUUUCCUUCAUAGCAUACUGUAUGGCAUAUGCUCAUCUUCAUUAGCUCAGUUUAGGAGCAGAACCCCUCAUUUGCUAGCCAGUGUGUUACUAAUUACUAGAGAGAGAGAGAGAGAGAAAUGGGGUUUAACGUCUACUCGACACAAACUAGGUCAUUUCGGGACUAACAUAUGGUUUAAUUUUUAUUUACAUAAUUCGCUUGCGCGUAGGGGUCUUUAGCAGUGGGAGAAAACCGGAGGUUGGACAGGCGACCCUACUCCUUGUCACGUACAACCGGGGAUUCGAAACCACGCCAGUCAACUCAAUGACAGACUUUAUGAUACAGCGCCCGCACGCUAACCAUUCAGCCAUCCAACCCCCCGUUACUAAUUACUAAGUUUGUGAAAUGUAGGUUUUUCCUCCUGUAGGUUUGUCCUGAUGAAAUCGGUUUAUUGUCCUACUGUUCUGCUCCGACUGGGCUAAUGAAGACAGGUACAUACCAUACAAUGUGCUAUGAGGGAAAUUUUGUCUACUAAUAUCGAAUCCAACUGCCAAGGGAUCUUUUCGUGCAAGCCAAUGUAUACAUGGUACCUCGGUUUUUUGUCCCAUCUGAGUGACUAGACUACUGUCCUUGUUCCUGCACCUCUGACAAGGGGAAACCAUGUCGGAAAAUCCUGAUGAACUUUCUCCACCAAUGCAGGGAUCGAACACGUGCCCUCCGGAUUACCGAGCCAGCAUCUUACGCACUUAGCCACCAUGGCUUUAUCAAAAUUAGUAAUGAAGAUGUGCUAUGACAGAAAUUUUGCCUGGACAGCAGCAUUACCGCACUUACUAAUGAAGAAGUGCUAGGAAAGACAUUUUGCCUGGAGAGCAGCAUUUCCACAUAUAGUCAUUACCAAUAGUUCUAAGUGCACGCCAACCUGUAAAACAUGUCUUUACACACUUUUCCAUCAUUACCAAUUACUAGUCUGCGGGUUCACUAGUCUGUGGGUGCACUAAUCCGUGCAUUCACUAGUCCACUAGUCUGACUCUAUAAAAUACUAUAAAUAUGAGUAUUAAAGAAACCCAGUAGAUAUGGUGACUGAUAUCACCCUUCGUAAGGCGAUAACCCAACAUCACGGCAUUUUAACCCGAAAUCACAACAUUUUAACCAUUAUAGCAUAUGCCCUUCUUCAUUAGCCCACUUGGAACAAAAUAGUAGGAUGUUCAAACCCCAUUUAAAAUUCAUUUUUAUACUUUUCUGAACCAAUCGGACUAUUGAAGAUAGUCAUACGCAAUGCAGAGUGCUAUGACGGAAAUUUUCUAUGGACUGUGGCAGGGCGGAGGAUCUGGCAAGGGAUAAGGUAUAGUUGUUCGGGUCAUACGAAAAAUCAAGUCCUCGUGUACAUAUUGGCAUGCACGUAAAAGACACUCCGACAGUUGUAAUUCAAUAUCAGAGUAGGCCAUAGUGCCGCUAUCCGUGCAAAGUUUCCGUCAUAGUACACUGUAUAUAGUGUAUGCCUGUCUUCAUUAGCUCACUCAGAGCAAAACAGUAGGAUGUUUAAUCUCAUUUAAUUUUAUUUAAUUUUCCUACUUUUCUGCACCAAUGGGACUAUAAAAGAUAGGCUGGCAAGCGGACGAGUGCACCCAUUGACUAUUGAGCAUCAUUUACUUGAAAACGUUGAGAGAACCCUCAACGAAAUGUCGCUUUAAUUAAAAUAGUAAUUGUGUUUUUUGUUGUAUCAUCGAGUCAAGUGAACGUUAAACCCCAUUUCUCUCUCUCUCAAUUUUGAUACCCAUAAAUUUGACAAAACAAAUAAUGAUUGUCGGAAACUGUUUCAUAAAGCAAAGUUGUUCUCUACUAAAAGGUUAUCACUGUCCAAAUGUUAGGAGUAGUCCACACCUAGGCCGACUAUGCAUGAAGUGUUUUUAUAAUUAAAUUUAUUAAAUAUAGUACCUUGCAUCAGUAAAUAUAAAAUUAAUGAUCCUUUCACCAGUAAAUAUAAAUUAAAAUUACCCGAUUUGAUUAUUCUUUUAAUAUAACGUAAUCAUGUAACCUCAUAUAAAAUAUGGUAGAGCGUAUACAAACAAAUAAUAUGAAUAGAUUCAUUAUCAGAAAUAUUACAGGCCUUUCAAACGAACAGUCGCCAUUUUUAGACCUAAAUACAUGUAGAUGUACAAAUAUAUUUUUAUCGUCUCGGGCAAGGUCAAGGUCACGAUCUGUUCACUGUUGAUGAUUGUGUUUAAAUCGGUUUAUAUCAUAUUAUUUCUAUUCACAUUACAAUAUUUUUUUUAUAGGUUACGGUUAUUGUUGUUAUUUAUCAAAAUUGCUUCAAUUAUUUAUUAAAUAUUUUUUGUUUGUUCGUUUGACCGGAACGUACGGAAUUCUGGGAUUUAAAAUGGCGGCAUAGGUAAUUAUUUUUCCCAAAGAAGAAAUGAUGCCGUGAUUUAAAGUUAAAUAAAGCUAUUCCACACAUACACACACGAUUUUGGAUUCAGCAAAGUAAAGUUGAAGAUCCUACAUGUAUAUUUGAGCACCCGUGGUGGCAGUAAUGACAAAGAAGUUCUAAAAAGAUUUAUAUGGGCUUUAUAAUGAAAGUUAGACAACACUACUACUUGCCAAACACUACUACUUGUCACAUAAUGUAAUGAUAUAAAUAUAUAUGUAUCUAUGGUAGCACAAAUAUCAUCAGAAUGUAGGCCAAAGCUUUACAAGCAUUGUAGGCCUAAAAUACUUUCUGUCUGAACUUUUGACAGUCAAUUCUUUGAUGACUAGUUAGUUUAGAGCAGAUAUCCUGUCACAGUAUUAUAUAACAGCUCUUUGGCUUAAAAUUUAAACUGAGUUGUAUCAGUGAGUUGAAAAUCAUCUGUGUUCCUGUUAUUGCUCCCUGCUGCAGCCAGUAAACAAUAACCUUUUGCGUUCCUUACAAAUCUUCCAAUUUUUACUGAUAGAUCAACCAUAGCAAAGAUCUCUAUUAAGAUUAUAUUUGUAAUGUGUGUAACAAAUUCUAUGACAUAGGUAUAAUAUUGGUGUAGUUAAGUAUAUACCAUAUUUAUGCACACAUUUCAAUAUUGGCAUAUUAUUAGUCUCUAUCAUCUAGAAAAAAAUAUUCUAUAUUCUACGAAUAUUAGUGUGGUUGCGUUGUCAACAUUUGAGAAUAAUCGGUCAUAGGCUAGAUUAUCCGGUCUUUUACAUUAUCAUAAACAAAGUCUAAGGGAGGUAACUAGUCCUAAAACAAGAUGUUGACGCCCAUGAAAUUUAUAUAAGAAUGCCAUUUCCGAAAAUCCAUUUGAUUGCAUUGUCAGUUCAAUAUCCAACACUCUUAAUUUUUUUUAUUGAAAAAUUUCUCUCUUCAUGGGCCAUAUCUAUGUUUUUUUUUUUAUUGAAUCCUAAUUCGUCAUCACUAUUCAUGUUUGUUUAUAAAUGCAAGUGUUAUUGACAACUGUCCCAGACCCUCAUUAUUUAUAUGGCCCAACUUUUCUUCGGGGUACACCGGCACGGUAUUAGACUAGGAUAAACAUUAGUCUUAUAUACCGCCUCUACUUAAUUAUGGAUGUAGGUCGGAAAAAUGUAAAAUUUGGCAAUUUGACUUAUACUCAACAUCGACUUAUGCUAUAACUGUUUCAAAUGACAAGUGCUAAAUGAAGUAUUUAUGCGGUCUUUGGUGAAAGAAAUGAAAUGAAAUGGGGUUUAACGUCCUACUGUUCUGCUCCUAACCUGGGCUAAUGAAGACGAGCAUAUGCCAUACAGUGUGCUAUGAGGGAAAUUUUGCCUGGGCAGCGGGGCUACGGCCUACUCUUAUAUCGAAUUCCAACUGCCAAGGGAUCUUUUACGUGCACGCCAAUGUCUACACGGAACCCCGUUUUUUUGUCCCAUAACGACUAGACAGCUGUCCUUGUCAGUCCCUCUGUCCUGCAUCACUGACAAGGGAAACCACGCCGGAAAAUCAGGAUGAACUUUCUCGGCCAAUACAGGGAUCAAACACCCGACCUCCAGGCUAGCGAGCCAGCGUCUCACCCACUUAGCCACUUGAUCCCCCCCUUUGGUGAAAAAGAGAGAGAGAGAAAUGGGGUUUACUGUCAACUGGACACAAACUAGGUCAUUUCGGGACUAACAUGGUUUAAUUUUUCAUUUACAUAAUUCGCUUGCGCGUAGGGGUCUUUAGCAGGGGGAGGACACCGGACGACCCGGAGAAAACCCACGAGGUUGGACAGGCGACCCUACUCCUUGCCACGUACAACCGGGGAUUCGAAACCACGCCAGUCGACUCAAUGACAGACUUUAUGAUACAGCGCGCGCUAACCAUUCAGCCAUCCACCCCCCCCCCCCCCUUUGGUGAAAGAAAACAGAGCUGUGGCUAGUGAAAUGAAAGUUUAACGUCCUACUGUUUUGCUCUGAACUGGGCUAAUGAAGAUGGGCAUACGCCAUACAGUGUGCUAUGUGGGAAAUUUUGCCCGGACAGUGGCACUACGGCCUUCUCUUAUAUCGAAUUCUAAUUUCAAGGGCUCUUGUACGUGCACGCCAAUGUGUACAUGGGACCUCAUUUUUUUGUCCCAUUUUAAUGACUAGAUAGCUGUCUUGUCUAGCCCUCUGUCCUGCAUCACUGACAAGGGAGAACCACGCCGGAAAAUCUGGAGUAACUUUCUCGGCCAAUGCAAGGAUCGAACACCCGACCUCCAGACUAGAUAGCCAGUGUCUUACCGACUUAACCAACGUGAUCCCCGUUGUGGCUACAAUUCCUGGAUUUGAAGGUCAGGUAUGAUAUGAAACGAAUAUUUUGAACCGGUUCACCAAUGCAACCAAUCUGUGACGGGUUAACCGAUAGAGGGUUACAUCCUUGAUAUAAAUAUACUUGUCGCAGGUUUUAAAAAUAGAAAGAUAUAUAUAAAGGUAGCUCAAAAUUCAUCUCUACAUAUACAUAGGCCAAGGGGGGAUCAUGUGGCUAAGUGGGUAAGACGCUGACUCGCUAGCCUUGAGGUCGGGUGUUCGAUCCCUGCAUUGGCCGAGAAAGUUCAUCCUGAUUUUCCGGUGUGGUUUCUCAUUGUCAGUGAUGCAGGACGGAGGGCCUGACGAGGACAGCUGUCUAGUCGUUUGGAUGGGACAAAAAAAACAAGGUCCAGUGUACACAUUGGCAGUUGGAAUUCGAUACAAGAGUAGGCCAUAGCGCUGCUGCCUGGGCAAAAUUUCCCUCAUAGCACACUGUAUGGCGUAACCUUUUGCGUCUCUUCAAAAUAUUUCAAAUCUUUUGUCAUGGAUCAACCAUUGCAAAUAUCCGUGUUACAAUUAUAUUUGAAAUGUGUUAAACCAAUUCUGCAACACAUGUAAUAUUGGUGUAGUAUAUAUCUUUGUAUAUACACCCACAUAUCAAUUUUGGCCCUGUUUGUCCGUACACUGGGUGUGAAAUGUGAAUCAUUCCGAUUGUGAGAGGACAAGCAUUAUCAAUAUACAGCUUUUCAGGACUUUGCCUUCCUUGGUUAAUUCUCCUUUUUUCAAAUGCAAUAGAUGCUGUGUUUAUUCUUAAUUGAUCUUUUUCAAAUUUGUGUUACACACUGGAAUCAUGAGAGGACAAAACCUAUCAAUAUUCAGUAUUCCACAACAUUCCAUUCCAGUGUCGGCCGAGAAAAUUCUUCGUGAUUUCCAGACUUGGUUUCCUCCCCUUGUCAGAGGUGCAGGACAGAGGGCCUGACAAGGAGGGACAGCUGUCUAGUCGUUUGGAAGGUACGAAUGACCGAGGUCCUGUGCACACAUUGGUUCGCACGUGAAAGAUCCCUUGGCAGUUUGAAUUCGAUAUAAGAGUAGGCUUUAGCGCCACUGUCUGGAAAAAAUUCCAUAAUAGGACACUGUAUAGCAUAUUUCCAUGUCAUUAGCCCUGUCGGAAUAGGACAUUAAACCCCAUUUCAUUUCACUCAUUCCAAAGUUAACUCCUAUUCCAUCAAUACCUUGAGCAAAUAAGAUAGAGGCUAUAGGUUUUGGCCCAAUUUGGUCAAUAUCCCAGUUUUUUCUUUCUUAUAUGCAUAUCAACACUUUCAUAGCGCUAAUGUAGACCUUUUUCUUGAACAUUUUCCCUUGUCAGUGAUGCCGGACAGAGGACCUGACAUGGAUGGCUGACUAGUCAUACGGAAGGGACAAAAAAAACCCAAGGUACAGUGUAAACUCAAGUGUGUGUGUGUGAAAGAUCCCUUGGCAGUUGGAAUUUUAUAUAAGAGUACGCCAUAGCUCUGCACACUGUGUGGCAUAUGCCCGUCUUCAUUUCUCAAACAGCUGUGGAUAAAAACUGUUAAUAUUUAAAUGUGUAUUUUGUAUUUUAUAACAUUAUAUUUUUGUCUUUUAAAUAAAGUAUAUGUAUACAUA